CUGGUGGUCAGAGGUGCCAAGAAGUAUUUCCUUGUACCUAUCCUAAAUCCCUCCUGUUUCUCUGGGUUCCCAGCCAGGCCCAAAUGGAGAGAUGAGGAUAGGAGCGGGACGGACCCCAGAGCUGCCCAGCUCAGCCCCAAGGCCAGCAAGGUGAGCGGCCUCCCGCUCCUGGGGGCCUACAGCCUCCUCCAAAGUUGCCCAGCCAGAGCCAAAUGGGAAACCACCUUUGUCCCCUGGAUUUCAGGCCUUGAGGAAGGUGGGAGAUGAGAAAACUGAGGCACAGAGGCCAGAGCCACUUGCCGGAGCUCAGAGCCAGUCAGCAACCGGUUUGGAUUCAGGUGACCAGCAGCAAGACCCCGCUUCUUCUUCACUUGAUCUCAAAAUCCUCUGAACUGACCUUCUCUCCUCAACUACUGGAGAAGGUGGGAAUGGCUGAUGGAAGCUUUCAUUCAUUCAUGAACACGGUGAAUCCACAGAUAUUUUCUGAGUGUCCUCUGGGUGCCAGGGCUCAGGGCUGGAUGCUGGUGGCUGGGGGACAGAAAGGAAGGCCCUGUACUCUAGGGGGAGGCAGGGAGCGGGAGAGACCCUCAGGGCCAUCCUCUGCACAAAGGAAGUGGCUGAGGCCCUCUGCCCGCGUCUUGUCCUGCCCCACCCCCCACGGCCCGUCCAUCUGUGUCCUUUUUCUGUGGUUCUUUCACCCUGGCCUGGGCAGGGGGCUCCGUGCCCCCACCCCCACCUACAGCCAUUUCCUGCCCUCCUGUCAUCUGCUUCCUUUGAUCCUUUCGUCGAAAGACUCCUGGAAGCCUCUGGACCAUUGGCAACCUUGGCAACCUCCUCCCCUGGGCUGGGCCUGGCCUGCUGACCCCAUCGGGGUGGGAGUCAAAGUGGGCUUCUCUUGGGAUGCUGCCCUGGGAGGCAGAUGGGUCCUGGUGUCAUUCAUUCAUUCAUUCAUUCAUUCAUUCACAGGUUCCAGGCCUGUGUGGGACCCACAAAGUGAACAAGACAGUCAUGAUCCCUGUCCUCAAGGAGCUCCCAGCCUAAGGAGCAGCAGCCCUUCCCACACCAAGUGAAUUCUCCCCAAAGUUCCCCCAACAGGGGUAGUCUGAGGACCCAAGGAAGGAACACGGAGCUAGAAGUCGGGCCUCUGGUGACCACCUUCACCUCUGAGGCUCGGUUCCACAUCCGGUCAGUGGGGCGGCUGGAGACAGCACAGGAUGGCAUGCUCUGCAAGCUCUUCCAAGCUCGAAGACCAAGAGAGGGCAUGGGGGUGCCCGGGCCUCACCAGAAUGGACAUCUGGGACACAGGAAGGGGCCCCCUGGACCCAGCAGAGAGGCAGGGUAGAGGCUGGAGGGAGAAGGAGCCUGGGUACGAAGAGAGAUGGAUGCACCUCGUUGGUCAGAAAGUGAACAGGGCCUUGGCCUGUGCCCUUCACCUGGCACGGCCCCCACGCCUGGCUCGGGCAGGAGCUCGACCGAUGCCGUCAGGGGGCUGCCAUUUACUGAGUGCUUACCAGGAGCGGGGCAUGCCGGGCUGAGCUCUUCACACCAGGUGCAAGUCUGUCGACUCCUCACUCUGGUCCUAUGAGACAGGUGCCAUUAUUCCCGUUGCACAGAUGAGACGAUUGAGGCACAGAGCAAUGAAGUUUGCCCAGGGCCCCCUGGUUUGUGGAUGGCAGAGCUGGGUUCUGGACCCUCCUUACCUGACGUCAGCCCCCAUGCUCUUCUGUCCCUUGGUGGAUGACCAGGGGCCUGGGCUUCAAGCCUCGGGAUCCUGGGCUCACCUCUGCUGCACUAGGUGGGGGACCUGCCCUUCCCGUGUUCUGCCUCAGUAGUUUCAGCAAGGUGGCUGGAAAGUCCUCACUCAGGGGGGUGGGAAACAGUCGGGAAAGAGAGUAGAGGCCCCCCCUUCCAGGGGAGGUCCUUCAGAGGACAGGAGUGUGGACUGAGAGCAGCCCCCUUUCCGUAGUCCCCCCCCAACACCCACCCGGGGCCCCUGGCGACCUUGCCCUCUCCAAACCCGGAGCAGGCCAAUCCAUUCAUCCAGCUGUCCAUUCGCUCCCUCAUUGGCUCAGGCAACAGAAUACACAGGUGAGCGAGGGUCUGUCCUCUUGGGGACUGUGCCUGUCUCCGGGAACUUCCUGAAGUGAGCCUGUGAGGGGGUUGGUUCAGGGGAGGACGGCAGAGGAGCGAACGUGGCCUGGGUGGGUUGGGGUGGGGUUGGCCCUUGAGGAGGCGACAUCUGCGCUGGGAUCUGAGGAUCAGUAAGAAGCCUGGGAGGCCAGAGGAAGAGGGCGUCCACGUGUCAGGAACAGCGAGCGAGCGCAAAGAAUCGUCCCUGUGAGGCUGUGCUUAGUGAGGCCUGGAGGAGUGAGGUGACCCACCCACAUUCGAGCAGCCGGUGAGUGGCAGAGCAGGAAUUUGGUUUUUCAGUUUAUGGAGGUACAAUGGACAUACAAUAACUGCACAAUCUGAGGAGUUUGGGCCUAAGUAUGAACCCAUAAAACCAUCAUUCCCGUCAAGGCAGUCAACAUAUCCACCGUCCUCCAAGUUUUCUUGUGCCCUUUUGUGAGCCCUCCUGGCCCCCAAUAUCCCAAGGCAGCCACUGAGCUGCCUUCUGUCACUACAGGUUAGUUUGCAUUUUCUAGAAUGUUCUAUAAAUGGAAUCACACAGUAUGCAUUCUUUAUUGCCUGGCUGCUCUCACUCAGCAUCAUGACCUUGAGAUUCCUCCAUGGUGUCCCGUGUAUCAAUAGUUAAAUUUCUUCUUAUGAAUAACCUCUUAUCAAUAGUUAAUAGUGGCAUUCCAUGGAUGGCUGCACCACAAACUG